GAUGAACGCUAGCGGCAGGCCUAACACAUGCAAGUCGAGGGGUAACAUAAGAAAGCUUGCUUUUUUGAUGACGACCGGCGCACGGGUGCGUAACGCGUAUACAAUCUACCUUGUACUGGGGGAUAGCCUUUAGAAAUGAAGAUUAACACCCCAUAGUAUAUAAAAUUCGCAUGAAUAUUAUAUUAAAGGUUACGGUACAAGAUGAGUAUGCGUCCUAUUAGUUAGUUGGUGUGGUAACGGCACACCAAGGCAGCGAUAGGUAGGGGCCCUGAGAGGGGGAUCCCCCACACUGGUACUGAGACACGGACCAGACUCCUACGGGAGGCAGCAGUGAGGAAUAUUGGACAAUGGAGGCAACUCUGAUCCAGCCAUGCCGCGUGCAGGAAGACUGCCCUAUGGGUUGUAAACUGCUUUUAUACAGGAAGAAACAGUUCUACGUGUAGAACCUUGACGGUACUGUAAGAAUAAGCAUCGGCUAACUCCG
rnacentral:rRNA from 1 species